AGUUGAAGGAAGUGUGGAGGAUCGUGACGGAGAAGCCACGAUGGUGGAAUAUUCUGGCGAGUUGGAUCAUUGGGUUGAAGUGUCCUACAAACGGUUCUGAGUGGUUUUAAACUAUACGCAAAGUAGUCGAGGCCUGGUAGCAGCAUGGUUAUAGUAAUGGAUUGACCUAUGGGAUGACACAUUUGACCCACCAAUUAUUUUCAAAAGUUAAAAAUAAAAUAAAAUAAAUGUUAUCUGUGUCCCUUAUUAGAUUCAUCAUCAUAUUACGUAUAUUAUCAACUUUUAUUAUUGGAUCCUUCAACUCAUGAGUUUUAGAAUAUUCAACCAACCUAUUAUGAUUCAUCGAUCGAGUUAGAUAUU